GUGGUAACUGCAACCCCAAGUGCCCAAAACCAGACAACGUCAUCUGCCACUGAUGGAGUAACUGAUGGUGCGAGUGAGGAUGCUGUUGUGUUAAUUGAAUCUGCAAAAUGGGACCACCUCUGAAUCUGCAAUCUGCAAAAUGGGACUACCUCUGCCCAAGAUGGAACCACCAUCACUGAUUCCCAUGAUGACUCCUGAAGUGACUGCUCAGAAUGCUAAUGGUGAAUGGAACUUCUCCUUUAUCCUGGGUCACUUUCUGCACUUGGGCUUUCUCCAUCU